rnacentral:rRNA from 1 species
AUUGAACGCUGGCGGCAGGCUUAACACAUGCAAGUCGAACGAGUGGCGGACGGGUGAGUAAUGUAUGGGGAUCUGCCCGAUAGAGGGGGAUAACUACUGGAAAGGGUGGCUAAUACCGCAUACUAUUGGAGCGACCCAUAUGGGAUUAGCUAGUUGGUGGGGUAAAGGCUCACCUAGGCGACGAUCUCUAGCUGGUCUGAGAGGAUGACCAGCCACACUGGGACUGAGACACGGCCCAGACUCCUACGGGAGGCAGCAGUGGUGAAUUUUGCACAAUGGGCGCAAGCCUGAUGCAGCCAUGCCGCGUGUAUGAAGAAGGCCUUAGGGUUGUAAAGUACUUUCAGCGGGGAGGCGUUACCUGCAGAAGAAGCACCGGCUAACUCCGUGCCAGCAGCCGCGGUAAUUC